rnacentral:rRNA from 1 species
GCCCUUGAGGCGUGGCUUCCGGAGCUAACGCGUUAAGUCGACCGCCUGGGGAGUACGGCCGCAAGGUUAAAACUCAAAUGAAUUGACGGGGGCCCGCACAAGCGGUGGAGCAUGUGGUUUAAUUCGAUGCAACGCGAAGAACCUUACCUGGUCUUGACAUCCACGGAAGUUUUCAGAGAUGAGAAUGUGCCUUCGGGAACCGUGAGACAGGUGCUGCAUGGCUGUCGUCAGCUCGUGUUGUGAAAUGUUGGGUUAAGUCCCGCAACGAGCGCAACCCUUAUCCUUUGUUGCCAGCGGUCCGGCCGGGAACUCAAAGGAGACUGCCAGUGAUAAACUGGAGGAAGGUGGGGAUGACGUCAAGUCAU